rnacentral:lncRNA from 1 species
UUUAAUUUUGUAUCUAUUUGGCCUAAGGUUUAUAAAACAACUCAUAUAGUUGUAGGAGCUAUAUAUGUUUGGUAAAUAAAAGUUUUUAAAAUGUUUGUUAUGAUAAGAACUUAAUAUAAAAUUCUAAGUCUAAAGUGCAAACAGACUCUCUUAGAGUCUGUUUAAUACUGAGGAUUAUUAACUUUAUCGGGCAAUGGGGAACUGGGGCAAAAAUUAUAUAUAAAAUUUUUUUUUCUGUAGAAAUUAUAUCACAAUCGGAUCAUUAGGAUCUAUACUAAUAUUUCGUAUGGAAAACAGACGAACAAUUUUUUCAUAAUAGCUUUUUGUAGUAAGGAACGAUCCUCCUAGCAAUAUGAAAUUAUUAAUUCAAAAAGUAUUGCUUAGCUGAACAUGCUGGACUCAACAAUUUCUUAGGCUCCAUUGGUACUGUGGGGAUAUUUUGUUCCGUAUAGAGAAAAGUACAAUGGAGAAAACUUUCAUUUGUUUCUGUACGUAAUAUUUUUAUAUGCUUUUGCCCCGUAUCAAUGAGUCGGUAUGAUUAAACUAUGAAGAAACAUAUCAUUAUAUGCUUUUGCUUCAGUUUGCCUAAAAACAUACAUUGCCCCUCAACCAAUACCAAACGACCUGUUAGAGGGUCAUACUCUGUAUGGGCUAAAGUGGGCCUGGGCCGGUCCAAGAUGGAUGAGGAUGAAAACAGUUCUUCCAAUUCUCCACAUGAAAAAAAUUAUGCAGUCAUUUUAGUAGCCCAUAUAUACCUUUAUAUUAAUAAUCUAUAAUUUUUAUAACUAUCUAUUAAUCCUUAAUAAUUUACAUACGUGGUAUCACCAACUCUAUUUUUGUGAGUUGGCCUCACCUGUCAGGUUGUUUUUUGGGUUUGGUUCAGUUCUAACUCCUUACCUCCUUCGACCUGAUUUUUCUUUUCAACUGGUUCCUUCUGAAUCUGUUCUUUUUUGUUAGUUAAACUGGUUUUAUUACUUCUCAUAUUGCAUGUUGAACCGGUUUCUCUUAUCUGCCCAUUCUUGAGUUUGAUCCACCUAAUCUCUUCUAGGUUAAGACUAAUUUUCGGUUUUCUCUUCUUUCCCCACUAUUUCGUCUUUCCUUCCUAAUUAAUAUUUUUUCAAUUUUUCCUCUUUCCUUACUCUUUCAUCUUUCUUCUCCAAUUAAUAUUUUUUUGGUUUCAUCUUCUUUCUUUAUUGUUUCGUCUUCCCUCCUCAAUUGAUAUUUAUCCGCUAUAGAGUUGGAUUUUAGAAAUAGAAAAAACGAAUUUAAGCCGGUGGCUAAUUAGCAAUCUAAUCAAGCAGCUUCAAUCCCCGCGAUUUUUGUGUGAAUGGUCAGUAAGCUUACCUGUAUCAACUCGGAUACUUGCAGGCUUCCCCCAUUGCAAACUGAUAGACGGAGAAGGAAGAGAAAAAAAAUAAAUCUCGAAUUGGGCUGCAUACAAACACGGGUAUAUAAUAGGUAUUAGAAGUUUGGAUCAGAGCACAGUAAAAGAAAAAGAAGAAACACUGAAGAACAGAAGCUCACCUUGUAGCCACUAACUACAGAGGAUGGGUGGAUUUUAUUUCUGACAAGAACAUUUGCUCUCUGCAAUAGAAAAACAGAUAUGACAAGUUUCAAUAUGUCAUCAUCAUUCCAAAUAAAUUAUGACACUGAGAUAAUAACAAUUACAAAGCUACACUGAAGAAAAGAGUAAAGUCUCCUUGAGCAACUCUGCAGCUACAACAACAACAACUGAUGUUGUGCCGUAUCCUACCUCCCGAUCUUGAAGUUCUGCCGGCUCAACAAGAAUCUAACAUCCUCAGAGCAAAAUUUAUAUACAGAGAAGGGUUAAUAAUAACAAAACUUCACAACCCACAUGGAAGUAAAUACAGAUAAUUUCACUGGUAAUAGUAUCUACCUUGGCACCUAGAUGUUCCACCUCUAACAUCUUCAGAAUUGUUGCGCCAUCGUUCGUUAUUGUCACAUAACCAAUGUCACCAACCAGAAUCUAGAUCAUCCAAACUAGUUAGUUUCUAACACAUAAAAGCACUCAAAAUCUACUGCACAAGUAACAAAUCCAUGAAGAGUGCAAUGAAUUAACAUAUCAACUGCAAGGAUCACGAUGUUUUGUGGAUCACACCUAAUUACUGUACCAAAAAGAGCAACAGCCCUUAAAAUAAAAAGUAAACAGAAAUUUCUCUGCAUUCCCUCUAUAUUUUAUCCAUUAAAUUUUGUAAGAGGAAACUUGUUUUGAAUUUGGCAUAGGAAAUUACACUUUGCAAUUUUAGAAAGUAGAUAAACCUUAAAGAAAGUAGACAACUAAUAUAUAUUUAAACUGUCUACAAUGACUGAAUUAGCUUUCACACCCUCAGGUAUGAGCACAAAACCAUCACCCAAUACCACCCAAUAUUCACGAAACAUAACAGAUUCAAAGAUGAUGUGAAAUUAAUAUCUCUAUUUUAUCUAUGGUGUGAAACGAGCAAGUUAAAUGCUUCAUGAAUCCAAAUAGGACAUUUAGUUGAAAAACAAUUAUAAUAACAUACAUAUUUGGAUUUCACCAUACAAGAUCCAUACCAAACUUAGUAACUUUUAUAAGUUUGUACAUCGCUAUUCAACAAACAAUGUUCAUUUCUUUACAGAACAUGUACAAAAUUUCGAUAAAAUGCACGCCGCUAAAAUUAGAGUUCCAACCUCCAAGGCAUUCAAAACACUAACACCCCUCAGAUACAGCACAAAAGGAACAAAAAACAUUAGAGAAAGAAUGGAUUCACCUUAUCGAGACCGACGGGUCCGAGGGACGACUUGAAGAUGUUUGCCACGGCUUGGCACACCACCGCUGCCACACCAAAAGGAUUCAACAAGACGAUCAACGAAGAGUAAUAACAAUAUGCAUCAAAUGCGUUUCUCUUUGAUAAAAAGGAUCGCAUGAGCGAUCGAAGAGUAGGAUCGUACCGUUCUGCGUGCGCACAUCCUGGUCCGUUUGGCGCUCGCCGAGAAUGUCGGGGGUCUGAGCGGCGAUCGCCAUGGCUACGGAUCAGCUUGUACGAGGAAACCCUAGGUUUGAGCUCCGAGGAAACCCUAGAAAGGCGAAAGGGGCGAGAGGACGAAGACGGGAGGAGUAUGGAGUGUUCGGAGAGUAGCAAGUAGCAACUUGGCGCGUAGAGUAGUGGGCUUUGUUAAGGUUACGUUUAUACAUAUAGAGCCCGAGAAGUGAGGGCGAAUGACGGGUCUGAUAGCGACUAUAAAUAGAACCUAAGGUUUAAAAUGGGGGCCCAUACAAACUCGGCCCAUUUAGGCCCCAACUAUAAGGCAAUAAGACCUGCAAGCGAUAAAAAACAAAAGGUCCUCGAUCCGACCCGUUAGCCUGUUAUCCAAGUACGCGCCAAUUUCUAUCUCGUCUCGCGCACAAAAGUUGAGGCGCUCGUGCUUCGAAUGAUGAUCAAAACGAACACAAGUUGCUCUCCACCGUCUGAUCAUCACGCGCUCGCUACGGACCGUUGAGUUCGUUUCGUCUCCACUUUCACCUCAAAAUCCCAAUCCCUCGAUCUCCUCUCUCCCAUGGCGACAUCGACCCUCCUCUUCCCCACCACUCCUUCUUCCUCCCUCUCCUCCACACCCCACUCUCCUCCAUUCCCCAUCUCCGCGAACCCUCGCCGCCUCCGCCGAGCCCGAUCCUCCUCCUCCGCCGCCGCCGCCGCGGCGGCGUUCCGAUUCCUGCGCCCGCGCGAGGCCGUGCGCGCCAAAUCCGACCUCCUCAGCCUCAUCUCCGACCAGGAGAGGGGCCUCAGGACGCAGCGCGAUCCCUCGAAGCGCGCCGAGAUCGUCGUCGCGAUCGAGGCGCUCGCCGCCGCGGCGAAGGGCUCGGUCACCACGGGGCCUCCGCUCUCCGCGACGUGGCGGAUGCUGUGGACCACCGAGAAGGAGCAGCUCUUCAUCAUCAAGAACGCCCCCUUCUUCGGCACCGAAGCCGGUGAUGUGCUCCAGGUAAUUAUAUUAUUAGUUUUUGUGUUAAGGUGAUUUUCUGUGCAAUUCACUAAAUAAAUAAAAAAAAAGAGUACUGUACCAAUCGUGCCCUAGGUGAUCGAUGUGGAGAAGGGGACGCUCAACAACGUCAUCACGUUCCCCCCUUCCGGGGUCUUCUUCGUGCGAUCCUCGAUCGAAGCCGAGCCCCCUCAGAGGAUCAAUUUCAAGUGUGUAAUGGGUAGUUCUUCUUGGUUGAUCAGUUAUAUUUUUAGGGUUUUAUUGUGAUUUGUCGGUGUGUUGAUGAUUGUCGAGUGUGGGGGCAGGUUCACUAGUGCAGUGCUAAGGGGGAGCAAUUGGGAGAUCCCAUUGCCGCCUUUCGGAAAAGGAUGGUAAGAUUUGGUUUCAACUUUCAAUAUGUUUCUUCUACCUUCAAAUAUUUAAUAGAAAUCAAACACUUUGAAAAACAUUGGCAAUGUAUUGACUACGGCUAUGUCUAGGCCGGGGUUGGCGUGUCUACUCAAUUGUGAGAUUUCUUAGGUUCAACUCCCUCACUCUCAAUUUGGUUUUCUCAGGGGCGAAAAAUGAGUAAUAUUAGCAAUUUAGAGGGGGAAAACACAUUGAGAAUUGACUUUGUAUAGAUAGCUUUCUCUGUUUAGUAAGAGAUGGACGAAGAACAAACUUUCCCCUGCUAUUGCCAGAAAGGAAACUAGAAUACUAUGUCAAUUGCAGUUUCGCAUUAUUUCUCAUUGAAUAUGCCUUUGUCUUGCACUUGUGAUGAUUGAUAACAUCUUCCAAGCUAUAGUUAUGCUUUAGGAGUUGUUGAAAUUAAGAAUUUAAGUGUCGUGGCACGGGAUCGUGUCAUAAACUUGCUAGCACAGUAUGGCACGGUGCGUACUGGGCGGUAUCGAUGCGUACCGAUCACAAAAAAUAUGUGUACCAACACAUAAUGAUAUGAAAAAUUUAUUUUCUUUAGCAACAAAAUUUUCUAGUUGCUUAUUAAGUACCUUUAUCAAAUCUUUUGAAUUUUAUUGAAAAAAUUACUUACUAAUUUAAAGUAAAAAGGGUUUUAAACUGUGCUGUCGGUAUGGGAACUGUAUCGUAGCGGCAUAUUAUUGGCAUGAUACGGUACGAAAGAUACCGCCCGUGUCAAUAGGUAUUUAAAUCCUUGGUUGAUUUGGACCGAAGUUAGUGAGCCUGAAUUUGUUUUUUUGUUUAUUUUGUUCUGAUUAAAUAAGGGUAUACCCUAUUUGAGGAAGUGCAAGUGUGAGUUUGAAUUUGAAUAUCCAACAAAUAAUUUUCUGUGAUUCUUUUUAUUGGUGUGGCUUCUGAUCCUGAUGAUAAUUGUUUUGGUUUGUUAAGACCGAUUUCAACAAAAUCUGGCUAAUGGCCAUUUUGACUAAAUUUGUUGUUGUAUUUAUUCAGCAGAGCUGUCAGCAUUAAAUGAAAAAUCAAAGUUACUAGACUAUGUAUCAUUAUUAGAUUUGCCUCAUAUUUCUUCAACCUUGUACUGUUAGUUUUAUUGUUUCGUCAUGUUCAUCUGGAAGCCUCCGACCUAUAGAAGUUAUCACCUGCUGCCGGAAAUAAAAUAAGCACUUUUUUUUUGUAAUUUUUCUCUCAAUAUUUGGUAGUUAAGCUAUCAGAGCUUUUGAAUGCCCUGCAUUAAGUACACAUCAUGUUUUUUGUCAUGUAGGUUUGAGUCUGUAUAUCUAGAUGAAGACAUCCGAGUUGUAAAGGACAUACGAGGGGAUUAUUUAGUUGUCGAUCGAGCACCUUAUAGUUGGAAGGAAUGAUUGGUGCGAACGGAAAUCACUCUCUUCUCAUAUUAUCUCACUUUUCCUUGUAUUGGAGCUAUUUAUAGUGGGUGAGUAUAUAUGUUAGCAAUUAUCUAGUGGAGUAUCACCAUGUGAAGCAUCUCAAUAGGUUGUUAAUUUUCACGGGAAUUUUUGCGUGCGAUGUCUCGUACUAUGGCGUUCAUCCUUUUCGAUUGUGAAGAAGAAGAAUUCCUGAGGAAUAUUUUUUCAAGUCAUGCUCAUGUACAUUUCUGUAGUUAUAAUGAAUGAAUAAGCAUUCAUUGUAUACGAGGUAACAUUAGCUUGUUCAGCAGUAAUAUUAACAAAUUUCCUGCUGAUUGAUGUAUAACUAGCAAUGUUAAUAACCUUGAAAUUGCCUUUUUAUUUCCUGCAUCUGAAGCUAUCAUACCUUAAGGUACCAAUCUUUCUAGCUUCCAACUUACGAAACUUAAUUGAAGGAUCAUUAUGCUGACAAUAAUUCGCCUUUUUUUGAGUCAGAACACUUGCCUACUGCCUUUCAGCACUUCGUCAUUCUCCUGAGAGGGUUAGCAUGUUUCAUCUGCUUGGAAGAAGAUCCAAAAUGUCCAGAAAAGCUCAGGUACGGACAACUAUAUACUUCUGUCGACUUCGUAUUUAUUUUGAAGAAUGUACUGUUGAAUAACGGUAGUUAUAAUUCCAUUUAGUCAAGCAUCUGUUCUUGCUUCUUUUUAAGAUCAUAAUAUUACCCUUUUUAUCACAUUAAUGUGUCGGUAAUCUUGUUUUAAUGUCGUUCAUCAUCACCAUCUAUUCUAGUCAUCUUGCUCUUCUACAUGAUUAUAGCAUAUCCAGUAACUUUGAGGCUAUGUCAUUUUUGAGUCGAGGAUAUCCCAGUGUUUUCUAUUCCUUGUAUGCGUAAAUAACCUUUGCUGAUACUUUACUCGUCUCCAAAGUUUUUGGGAUUUGCUCUGGUAUGUUACAGAUGAUUUAGAUUAUGACUAAUAUAUAUUUUUUAAAGUUGGGAGUUUUUAAACUUCAUUCUCCAAAUCGUAUUCGAAUUCAGAUUGAUGCUGUUGUUAUUGUUGGGACACUGUUAACAUCAUUGCAGAGUCUACAAUUAAUUCGGGCACACAGUGAGUUCCCAGCGAUGAAAAGGCUGGAGUCUUUUUCGUUUUACCCUUUUUUCUUGGUAAAAAUAUAUGGAGACCCUAGCUUUAAUUUUUUAGUUUACACCUCCUAUAACUUCUAUCUUUUUCAUUUGAACUUUUAUAAUUUGCUAAGUUCAAAUUUUUGUCAAAUUUUAUUGCUUAAUUACUCAUUAGCAAUUAAUUAGUCUAACUAUAUUCACUAUAAAAUAGUUUAUAUUAUUAAAUUUGAUCAAUUAACAUGGUAUUUUUAUAAUUUAUCCGGCUAAAACAGAUUUCAACAAAAAAAAAAAAUGUUGAGGUGCAUUAAUCAAGUAAAAAAUAUAUAUUCUAUUUCAGAAUGGCCUAUAGCUGGGGAGGUGUCCAUGAUUUUAUUUUACUUUUUUGCAAUUUAUUUCACGUUUUUUUAUUGAAUGCUUUUAAAUUUAAUUUUACUUUUAAAUUAUUUAACAAUAUUACUAUUAUAAAAUAUGUAACUAUUUGUUUAUAUAUAAAUCUUUUAAAAGUAUAAAAUAAGGGUCGCCCCACCCUGUUGAACGGUGGUGCGGCUGUGCUGUGUCUUUUUGAGCGGUGCGGUUUCAGUUGACGGUCGACAGCUGCUCCUGAGAAAUUUUAGAGGUUAGCGAUGCGGACGCGUGUGAAGGCGUGGAAAUGGUGGUGAAGCAAACUAUGCUCUACUUGUUAGAAUCUUAUUGGUUUCAUAUUGUGUAAGCACAUCUAAUUAUAUCGACUGAUCUUAAAAUACACUAAUUAACUUUUUAAUUUCAUUCGUUUUAAGUUGAAGUUAUCGUAUUGUCAUAGGUCAUACCUUUUGUAACUUUACAUGGUAUAAUUCAAUUGACUAGUGGUAUACAUUUAUGACAUAAUUGUUGUAUUAUCCUGUUAUUAGGACUUGGUCUAUGUAGUUCUAAAGGAGCGAGAAACUGGUUCCAAUACGUAGUAGUCGAAUCAUGGCCCGUUUAACUUUUGUAGGUCAGAUUCAUCCCGUCCGUCCAUGUGAACCUGCUACCACUAAGCCUUCAAUUGACCGCACCUUGAUCUCGACCCCCACCAAUUGGGAUUUGGCGUGCUCUCCAUAAUGUCCAACUUGUCAUUUUAGUGCUAAUGAUUAUUACCCUUGGGUUAGAUCCUACCGCUCGAUCUUGAUCCAAUGGUGCUUAUAAAAUAGGCAUCGAUGAGUGAUUGCUUUUAUAGCGACGAUGACGCUCUCCGUUAAAUUAUUGCUGAGGCAAUUAAUAACCAGAUAGAAAAUUUCCUCACGCCUCCUCUUUGCUCUGUGCUAGUGUGGUCUAUACAAAUUUCAGAUCAUCCUAUGUCACACGUAAGACUUUAAUGUUGCAAUUAGAUAUUAGAUGUUGACAUGAAAAAAAGUCCUCUAAGGUAAAGUUGUAUUCUUAUACAAAAUAAGAUGGAUUUUUUUUUCUUCUUUUUCAAAGGUUCUUGAAAAUAAGUAAAGAGUAAACACAUCAGUAAUAAAGGGCAUAAGAAAAUGCUUUAUAGAAAUUUAGUUAGAUGAUAAUUAAGCAACUUCCUAUCGAAUAUUAUCCAUUAUUAUGGAUGCUUUAUAGAAACUAGUUAGAUGAAAAUUAAGCAAACUCCUAUGAAUAUUAUCUGUUAUUAUAGAUUGCAAAUAUUGUUGCUUUUGCUAUAUUUUAUUAUCAUUAUUAUACAUAUUAUAGCCCACGAGAUGUGGUCCUAGCUGAUGGUCGACUCAACUCACGUGAUCAAAUAAAAAGUUGAUACAUGAUACUCCAAAGGUGGGAAAAAGAAUUGAAAGCAUAGAAGCAAGUCUAUAGCCGAUCAUUCAGUCAAACAUAUUUAACUUGCUAUAUAUAUCUACACAAAACAAAAUAAAUGAAUGAGAGCAGAGAACUCUUCUUCCCUCCUCCCCUCCUCUCCUUCUAGGACCCACCAAUUCACCGUAACCAGCUUCUACACAAACUCAAAGGGAGGGACACAUCAUAUAAACGGAAAAAUAACGGUCGCAGCCGCCACCAGAACUAUUCCUACACGAGUACUAGUACUACUCCAUGCGGCGGCGACGGAAGCGGAGGCGGACGUGUCGGACGACGAUGCGGAGAGCGAGCUGAAGCUGAAGUUGGGGUUGGAGCCGUAGAGCGCUUGCACCCCUCGGACGUCGUCGGCGCCGAGCUCCGCCUUCCUGGUCCGGGGUCUGAGGCUCGGGUACAUGACGGCCCCCCUCACCGGCGAGUGCGCCAGCCCCAGCACGUGCCCGAUCUCGUGCGUCGCCACCGACUCCAAGUCCACCGCCACCGCCGAUCUCUCCGCGUCGAAGUCCACGGCCCACCGCUCCGCCGCGUCGAGGUGGAGGCGGCCGCUCUCCGGCGAGAACGCGUGCGCGAGCACCCCGAGCACCCCGUCGAAGGGCUCGCCGUCGCCGUGCUCGCCCGCGUAGAACCCCACCUUCACGUCCGCGGCGCCGUAGUCGCGCGCCUCCGCGAAGCGCACCGGGAUCACCCGCGCCCACCGCGCGAACGCGCGCCGGAACGCCGCCGCCACCGCCGCGCGCGGCACGUAGUCGAUCGUCGCCGCGGGCGAGAUCGCGUACGUCAGCACCAACGGGCCGGGCCGGGCCCAGCGGGGUGAGCCCGGAAAGAACGCGAAGCGCCGGACCGAGUCGGCUCGGGCGGCGGGGCGGUCGGGGACGCCGCAGCGCGGGGCGGCGAUCUCGGCGAGCGUGGCGGCGUCGAGCUUGCCCGAGACCGGGAGGCCGAGCCGGGUCUGGUAGAGGCUCACGGCCGACUCGAACCGGGCGUCGAACGAGUCGGUCCGGUCCGACGCGGCCGAGCCGGGGAGGUAGCCGAACCGGGCCAGGUAGCGCUUCAGGUCCCCCACGCCCGCCACGUGGCUCCCGCGCCCCGCGCCCAGGAGCCGCUCGGACGACCGCCACGUGUCGGUCGGGCUAGCCCCGUCCGGGGCGGGCCUCGCGAGGAGCGAGGGGCAGAGGAGGAGAACGAGGACGGUGGGGAUCAGAGGAAGCAUUACUACAAGUCCCAGUCGGAUUCAAGCGUGGGAUAUUGAUAUUUUUUAAGUACUCGGAUGGAUUUUAUAGUUAUUCUCGUUAUUGGAACCGAGCUAUAUAUGUUGGGGUCCGGUUCGUUUUGGUUUGUUGGUUGGUCUGUGGGGCUUGGAGUGGGUUACUUAAAAGGAGGAAGGUGAUGAUUCAGCGUUUGGUCACCAACUGGCUCUGCCACGGACUUUGCUUCUCCGAUCUCGUCUCUUCGAUGUGGAUGUACUCAAGACACACUCGUCUUCUCUACGAAGACUAGGCCCAUCGCCAAACUAUAUUAAUUAAUUUUCUGUCACCGCAUACACUAACCAUAUGAUACAUAUUUAGACACUAUAUAUUGAAAAGAAGGAAAUAGUGAAAAAAGAAAAAAGACAGGUCUGUAAAAUCAUUUAUUAAGGAGCGCGCGUAAUUAAGACUUUAAGUCAGAUCAUAGAAAAACAUAACACUUUUUAUACUGAACAUUAACAUAGACUUUAUCCGCAAAAGAACAUAACUUACACACGAUUAAAUUAACACUGCUACGUACAUCACUCACUACACAUAAGGUAUACUAAUUAAUUUUAUUUCUCGAUCUUCAUGCACUCCAAAUGACUCUUCCCAUCAAGCUUUGCGGCCAAGAAGGACUUGGCGAAAUCGAGAAAGCCUACUGUUUUGUAAAGCAUCUCCCCGUCCUUUACGAGCUCCGGAAGAGGGCCGACAAUGGAGUUCUCAUGUGUGCUGUGGAAUACAGCAGCUGAGAUGCGUUCUCUCUUCGUGUUUAUCAUGGCCCGAUGCUCGAUACUUUUGUACCGUCCAUUGCUCAGUACCUGUUCCAGCAAAUAAUAUUAACAACAGUAAUAAUAAUUUCAUAUGAUUUUUUAUAAACAUGUCAAAUAAUAAAUAUAUUUUUUUAUAUAAAAUUUAAAUUAUUAAAUUUAUUCUUUUUUAAAAAAAAUGCAGCGCGACAUUCAUAUUUACCAUUUUACUUUGUUACUGUUAAUUUAUUAUUUAUUUUUUAGCAAAAAGUAAAUGAAAUGUUACUUUCUUCGUUACAAAUGAAAAUACCAAUGGUUAGAAACGCGUCAAAAUACCCUUCCCCAAAAGGUUAUCUUUUUACUAUAUUACUAUCAACCCAAUUCGCUAUUAUUGUAACCUUUUCUGCACCUCUUCGUUCGCUCGUUUUUUCCUUAUCCAUUUUCUGCUUCGUUUUUUCACUAUUUUUUCUCCAUUUUAGCGGCUCAGGGUGCCUUCGUCGGAGGGCUCUGAUUGCUGGCUUCGUCGCUUCGUAGGCCUCGCAGGAGGACACGAACGCUCUUCACCAAAGCAACAGUGUUCAUUCGUCUUCAGACUCGGACCCAUUAGUUAGUUUAUAAGAUUAUAAUAUAAACGAGAUGAAAAAGAAAUAAUUUACUUCUUUCACGGAUCAAGAUUGUUACGUAUUUUAUUCAUAAUUAACUAAGUUUUUUUAAGAGACAUCAACAGUAGGAAUGUAUAUUGCAGCCAUUAGUAUUUCUAGAGAUUUUGUGAAGAUAUUUUGUUAUUUGUAAUGUUACAGAGAGCCAUAUAAAUUAUUCAAAAACAAAAGCAAAAAAAAAAAAAAAACCUUUAAAUUAAAGAUUAGCAGAUUAUGCAAAUAAAGUUUGUAGUUUCUAUUGCUUGCGUUUAUUUCUAACUUCACCUCAAGGAUAUCUCCGAUGUUGACGAUAAGCGCGCACGGAAGGGCUUGAACCGCGACCCAUUUGCCGCCCUUCUUUAUCUCCAAUCCAUGAACAUCGUUCACUUGCAGAAGCAGCGUCAACCCCGAACCGUCUGAGUGCGGCGAAAGGCCCAACACCUGAUCGGCCUGCGGGCAGGGGGGAUAGUAGUUCAUCCUCAAACUCUGCGGCAAGUCGUCGAAGAGAUUAAGCAGCACCUCUGCUGCCACUCCCAAGUCCUUGGCUAUCAACUCCAAAAGACGGCCUGCAAUGUCCUUCAUCUCCAGUGAGAACUUUUCAAGCGAGUCCCUGAAAACGGAGAUCCGACGAAUCGCGUUUGUAACCAAUGAUUUUUUGUUUUUGUUUUUUUUUUUUUUGACUAAACAGGGAUAUACUUUAUUGAAGAAAAUGCAACAUCAAGUAAAAUGGCAGAAAAGAAGACUCGGUCGAAAAUACGGUUAUCCUAACCACAAACUUACUUUUCCCCAAGAUCGAAGCCCAUAAUUCAGCAGAGGAAAUAAUCUUGCUGCCUACAUCUUCGUUUCGAGUGUGACGGUUGUCAAAGAUUUGUGAAUUCCGUUCUUUUCAAAGUUUUCAGUGUAUCGCGGCAAGACAAAAAUCGAAAAGAAUUUUAGCGAGAUCCGACUGCGAUUUUCUGAUUCGACACCAUCUAGUCGCUAUAUCUCCUAUUUGAUUUAACAACAAGUACUCAGGGGUCGGUAUGUUUUGCAAUAGUGCAACCCAUAAAGACUAGACAAACCUACAACCAAAUAGAAUAUGCUCCGGAUUUUCAUCAUUUAUGAAAUAUAAUACGCAUAUAGACGAUCUGUUCCAUCCUCGCUAAACCUGUAUAUCCUAUUUUGUUAAGACGUAUUGUUUUACUAUUUGUUACUUUUGGAGUAUUCGGGCUAACUAUAUUACAAUUUUAUCGGAUCAACUUUUCGAAAAUAAGACCGACCGUCCCUAGAGCAAGUGGCAAAAGGCUUGGUGGUUGGUACCCGAGACCCAAGUUCGAAUCCUAGUUGAUUCAUAUUUCUAGCUAAGUUUAUUUCUAAAUGAAAUAAACGAAGCAGAUAGCGUGCUCUACCUAUUUCUCAAAAAAAAAAAACUUUUCGAAAAUAAGGUAUAGUUAUUUCUCACCUGAAAGUAGGAGGGUUAUUAGGCCAGAAUCUCAUGUCCCUCGAUGCGACCGGCCGAACGAUGAGGAAGAACAUGUCGCCCCAGUCCAGUUUCUGGUCCUCCGAUGUAACGAAGGCCUGGCCGUAACCUUCGAGACCGUUCGGCAGCUGCGAAUACGCCUUCUUUUGCUCGAGGGGCUGCUUGAAGAAUUCGAUUAUGUCGGCCCGCAUUUUGUCGAUCACUUCGUCGGGCACUCCGUGAUUUACGAGCUGCAUCAUGUGAGAUCAAAAAAAAUGUGGACUAUACACAAAUCUAAUUCAUGUUCAAAAAUGUGCCGAGUAAAACGUAAAGGGGCUUUUACAUGGGCCACUAUGAUUGAUCUGUUUGAACAUGCGCCUUAAAUUAACCCCUAUACCCCUAUCAAAUUAAAGAUUAUUACAAGAUCAGGUUAAUAAAUUAUCAUAGUUAAAAUAAACCGAUCCUAAAAGUGUUACAAAAACGUUUUCUAAGGCUACUUAUAAUUACUAAUAAAUCACCUGGAAGAAACCCCACUCUUCGCAAGCAACUCGAAGUUUCGCGGACUCCUCUUUAUAGAACUGGGGAUCAUUCAACCUCGCGAGAUCGAUCACCGGAAGAUCAACUCCAUUUACGCAAUCGACUGCUUCGUGCUCGAUCUCGGGCCUAAUGUAUCGCUCGGGGAUAUUCUUAUUUUCGUGUGACCCAUUAUAAGUCGACGCGAGAGCCUGCACGUUCUCAACAGGGAGGGAUCCAGUAAUCUUUCCACGAUUCCAUUUCUCCAUUUUCCUUCUUAGCUAUGAAGGUGGAAUUUUUCUGCUUUGGAUCUUCGAGUGAGUGAAAACAUGUAUUGGAUAGAUAUAUAAUACUGCACUGAUGACCCUUGUGUGAUUAUUUAUAUGCAUUAAGAACCCAACUUUUUUCUCUUUGACUUAUUAGCUGUUAAGACAUGUUCCAUUUUGUCAAUGAGCAAUGUGACAAUUUUUAAUGAAGCGGUUGGUGUCAUAGACUUGUAGUUGCAUGAUUGAGCUAGAAACAAACUUAUUUUUCACAUGUUUUUAUUGUUAUUAUUAUUUUUUUUUAUAAGAAAAUAAAGAGGGGUUUAAAUGUCACCUAUCAUGAGCUCCUAAAGAUAGGAUCAAUCUCCACCAUCGGAUUCAUUGAUGGAUGACAAAUUUUAUUUAAUUUGUCCAUUAUAUUAUAAAGAUUAUCUUGUCUCCAGGCAAACAAUUAGAUUAAAAUUUCUACGAAUCGCGUGCGUAGAAAAUUUGCACCUCAUUUCUGUUGCCAUCCUUAAUAUUAUAACCUGGAAAAUUUGAACCUCAUUUCUAACAUCGUUAGGCGGAAUAGCGGGGAUAACUUUUGUUAUUCCCGUUUAUCCCUCGAACCAAACGGGGCCUAAAGUAUACCAAGUUACAUAUUUUAUAUGGCAAGUCUAAUUGAUCAUAAUAUUUUCUUAAAAAUCUAUAUCAUCAUAAUGUAUAAAAAAUUAUUGUUAACAAUAAUUUAUAAGAAAAAAAAAAAAUAGAGUAACCCCUUUUUCUUUCCUGGACCAGUUAUUUAGUAAAGUUAAAGUAAGGUCAUGAAAUAGUUAAAGUUAUUUAUUUUAAUGUAACAUUAUAAAAAAAAAUUUAAAAAAUAAAUAGCAUACUACCGGGUUGCGUUUAUUUUAUUUAAAUUUUUUCGUUACUAAUCGGCCAAAAUAGAUUCCUUCAUUAUAGAUUUGUACGAAUUUUGAAGUGGCAAACAGCGAAUAAAGCGACCUGACACUGAACCAUGUCCACUAUUUUUUAUAUAUUUAUUUUGACUCUAGUCUGUGUUGUAACUUGUAACUCGAAAGCUCCCUUCCUCUCUUACAAGGGAGUUUCUCACUCCCUUUGUUUACAGUCGUUCUUAAAACGAUGCCGGGAGUUCGCACCGUUAAAGUCUCCCGUGUCCAUCUCGCUGCGGACUCUAAUUCUGCGUCCGAAACGAUCACGCCGCUCUCCUUCUUCGAUAUGCGUUGGAUCUCGUUCCAGCCCGUCCAAAAUCUCCUGCUCUACCCCGAUGCUCACCUCUCUCCUUCCUCUUUCCACUCUUACAAAUCAUCUCUCUCGAAAACACUCACUUUAUUCCGCCCGCUCGCCGGUAAGCUCGCCUACCGCCCCGCGUUGGACGAUGUCGUCAUCGACUGCUCCUUCGACGACGGUGUCGCGUUCGUCGAGGCCCUGUCGGACAUCGACGUGCGCCGCAUCGCCGAAGACGACACACACGAUACCGGGGCGUUUCUGAAUCUCGUGCCGGAGAUCGCGGCGGAUGAGAUGCCGGUGCCGGUGUUGGCGGUGCAGGUCACGGCGUUCGUCGGGGGCGGGGCGGCGGUGGGGGUGGCGAUCCACCACGCGGCGGUGGACGGCCGGGCGUUCUGGCGGUUCGUGGAGGCGUGGGCCGCGGAGUGCCGUGCGGACUGUCGGGUUGUGCCGGGCCCUCUGCCGUCGCAUGACCGAGCGGUGAUCGCAGUCCCCGCAAAGGACGCGAUCGCGAAGAGGUAUUUGAGCUUCCUGGCGCCUAACCGACCCAAGGUACGUAACUGUAUGUUUGUAAGUAAUUGCAUCGCUCAUGUACUGGUAAAAGAUUGGUUUUAAGAAAAAGUUUUUUAUAAAAAUAUUUAUUUUAUAAUAUUUAAUUUUCAAAUAAAAGAUUCGAUUGAAAAAUCAAAAGAAAAUUAUAAAAUUUGAAAAAAAAAAAUCAAAAAAAAAUUAUAAAAAAAAAUUAAGCAGACCAAAUCAAUCUGUCUACUAUGUUUUUUUUUUUUAACAUAAUAAAUAGGUCUAGACCAAUUCAUCCAACCGCGUUGGACCUCAAAUUUUAAGAUGUGAAAAAGCCAAGCCGAGAUCAAAUUUUCGUUUCUUCAGUUGAUUCCGCUAGACACCGCGAUAGCAAUACUCGGCUCAGAGCUACCUGACACAGUCAUUUUCAACUAGAAUUUACUAACUUACAUGAAGUGAUCAUUUUGUUUGUUCCUUUUGCGACCCUUUUACUAACUUUAGUUUAUACCCAUCUCGUUUUAGUUGCCACCAACCUCAAACAAAUCCCUCCAAGAUCGCCUACGUCUCACGAGAAGAACCUUCACACUGAACGCAACGGCAAUUCAAUCUCUAAAACAACGAGCAAAGCUGCUACAACUACUACACGAGGAACGUACGAGUCCACUCUCAAGAACCCCUUCCACCUUCGAGGCCCUCGCCGCGCACUCCUGGAUCUCUCUCGCCCUCGCCAAGGGCCUUGCCCGCGAUCGCCCCGCAUUCCUCUUCUUCCUCGCCGACUGCCGUGCGCGCCUCAGCCCACCCGUCGACGCCAACUACACGGGCAAUUGCCUUCGUGGUGUCAAGGUCUGCUCCACCGAGUCAAACCUCACAGCCCCCGAUGGGCACGCGAGGGCUUGCGCGGCGAUCGCACGAGCGGUUCGUGCAGUGGAGCAGGAGCCGGUGCGAGGGAUCGAAAAAUGGCCCGAGGAGUUUGCGAGCUUACCUCCAGGAAUGAAGGUGGUGUUAAAACUUACGCACGUAAUAAUAGCGUCGUGCAAAACGAAACAAAAGAAUGAAAAAAUAUGAAUGUGUUUGUAAUAGGUUAAUGUGGCGGGAUCACCACGGCAGGCAGGGUACGCGACAGACUUCGGAUGGGGGAGGCCGAGGAGGGUGGAGCUCGUGUCGAUGAACUUCGAUGGGGAGGUGGUGAUGUGCAAGGGGAGGGACGAGGGCACGGUGCAGGUAUCCGUCGCGAUUGCCGCGCAGCAGAUGGAGGCUUUUGCCGAAGUGUUCUCGAGAGGUCUGGAUACCGCCAAGCACUCCAAUAUUCGUGCAUUAGUAGGCAAAUUAUGAUGCAUCUAUUGAGACAUCAUAAUCUGUUGAAGCUACUGCAGAGUUUGCACGUAACAGAGUAUGGUUUGUUGGUCUUAAAAGUCUCUGUUCACGUAUCAUUUUAUAUAUAUAUAUAUAUAUAUAGAAUUAAGCUAGAAUACUUUUAAAAAUACUAAUCCCUUAGUGCUUCUAGGCUUCUAGCCCUUGGAUCUACUUCUUGUUUACUAAUAGUCUUUGGAUUAAACACUAUUCCACCUACCACCAUCUGUCACCAUCAUUCCAACCUUACAUCUCUCCAUCCAAUGGUUAAAAACUCAAAAGUACCACCCUCUUGGUGCUUUUGAGAGUAUUCUAGUUCAACUCUCUCUCUCUCUCUCUCUCUCUCUCUCUCUCUCUCUCUAUAUAUAUAUAUAUAUAUAGUUGAGCUAGAAUACUAUCGAUAGCAAACCAGCACUUUUACCACCUAUUUGUUUUUUAUGAUGGAGCCUCCACAUCGACGAUCGACACUGUUGAACAUGAUCUACACCACUUGAAGUGUUUAGAAAUCAAAUUUCAAAUCUUUUCGACAUCAUUUGCCUAAUGAUCAAAGGGUUUUAAAUUUUGUAAUUUUAAUGGUUGAUAUGAAGUGUUUUCUCGUUUAACGGCGUAAAGAUAUCCAAAUCAAUUAAAUUUUUAUUAGAAAAUUCUUUAAACUAUUUAAAACAAGAUCUAUACUCUUGAUGUUAAUUACAAGACUCCUAUCAUCAUUUUUUUAAGAAUAAUCAUUUUCAGCCGUUCAUUUUUGUGCCCACUCGAUAGAUAAGAGAAAUAUAUAUAUAUAUAAGUAUAUAUAUAAUUAUAUUAGUAUAGAGAGAGACGAGAGAGAGGAGAGAGAGGAAGAUCGAGAGAGCGGAGAGAGAAGUCAGCUGCUUACUAAUCGGUAGCCACGGGCUUCCGUGCUAUCCAAGUUGUUUUCGGAUGAUGCGACUUCAAAUCGACGCAUGGACCUGCCGUUAGACGCCUGAUCUGCACUAUUAAAAGUUUUGAACACUAAUUUCACAUUUUUUCGAGCAGUCAUUUGACUAGUGAUCAAAUGAUCUCAAAAAUUGCCGCAUUUUAGCAUGGCCGACUGUGGCGUGUUGUGGUUUCAACGGUUGGUAAAACAAUUCAAAUCCGAUGAAAUUUUACGAAAAAUUUCUUCACUAUUUAGAGUAAGAUCAGUAUAGGUCUGGAUCUUGAAUUCUAAAUCCUUUUAUCAUCAUUUUUUAUGAGGUUUUUUUUCCAGCCACUUCAAUUUUACUAUUUGUUUGAUCAGUGUAAAUGAUAUCGAAAAAUUAUGAAUUUUCCUUUUCAAAUUACUUCUUAAUAGGUGCAGGUCAAGUCUAAUCGGAGCCGGAUCGUCCACUUGGAAGCCACAACAUCGAGAAACAACUCGUAGGCAGCGGGAGGCCUCGUGCUGACCGUAGUAUAGGAAGCUGGACUCUCUCUCUCUCGUCUCUCAAUAUCAUAUAUAUAUAUAUAUAUAUAUAUACUACUAUAUAUAUAUAUAUAUAUAGAGUUGAGCUAGAAUACUAUCGAUAGCAAAUCGACACUUUUGCCACCCAUUUGUUUUCGAUGAUGGAGAAUCCAAAUCGACGAUCGGCACCAUUGAACAUGAUCUAUACCGUUUUAAGUAUUUAGAAAUCAAAUUUCAUACAUUUUCGAUAUUGUUCUCUUAUCCAUCGAGUGGACACAAAUAAACGGCUGAAAAUGAAUAUUCUUAAAAAAAUGAUGAUAGGAGUCUUGUAAUCAAGAUCGAGAGUAUAGAUCUUGUUUUAAAUAGUUUAAAGAAUUUUCUAACAAAAAUUCAAUUGAUUUGGAUAUCUUUACGCCGUUAAACGAGAAAACGCCUCAUAUCGACCAUUAAAAUUACAAAUUUUGAAACCCUUUGAUCAUUAGGCAAAUGAUGCCGAAAAGAUUUAAAAUUUGAUUUCUAAACAAUUCAAGUGGUAUAGAUCAUGUUCAACGGUGUCGAUCGUCGAUUUGGAAGGUCCAUCAUCGAAAACAAAUGGGUGGCAAAAGUGCCGGUUUGCUAUCGAUAGUAUUCUAGCUCAACUCUCUCUCUCUCUCUCUAUAUAUAUAGAGAGAGAGAAAGAGAGAGAGAAAGAGAGAGAGAGAGAGAGAGAGAGCUAGGCUCCUAUGCUUUCGAAAGUACGGGAGGCCCCGUGCUUGUAAGUUGUUUUCGAUGAUGGGAUAUCCGAUUCGGCGAUCGGUUCCGUUAAACUUGAUCUACGCUAUUGGAACUAUCUAGAAACCUAAUUUCAUAAUUUUUUGAUUUCGUUUGUCUAGUGAACGAGUAGUCUCAAAAUGAACGGUUGAAAAUGAAAAUCUCAUAAAAAACAGUGAUAAAGGAUUCAAUUUUUAAAUCGGAAGUAUUGAUCUUGCUACUGAUGUUAAGUAGAAUUUUCUAUUAAAUUUUCAUGUAAUUUGGAUACUUCUACACCGUUGAACUUAAAAAUGUGCCACAUCAACCGUUAAAAUAGUCAUUUUUUAGACCUUUUGAUCGCUUAGUAAAUGAUGUCAAAAAAAUCUAAAAUUUGGUUUCUAGAUAGUUCCAAUAGGGUAGAUCAUACCUAACGGAGCCGAUCGUCGAAUUGAACGUCCUAUCAUCGAAAACAACUUACAAGUACGGGGGCCUCAGUACUUAUCGAAAUACGGAGACUCUAUAUAUAUAUAUAUAUAUAUAUAUAUAUAUAUAUAUAUAUAUAUAUGAUCAUUGAAGCUUGACGAUAUAAAACAACAUUCAAGUGUUUAAAUUUUGAUAAAAACGCCACACUUCAGAAUACAGAGGAAGAGGAAAGUUCCUUCUCGCUCCCAGAGUCUCGCUAAGAUAUAAUAGAUGCCUGUGUAUUGAAAUCAUAAAAACCAACUAGCUCCUUUAACUACGAUCCGAUCUGCUAUAGUUCAAUUUUAUGCGAAACAAUUCAGUAAUCUAUGUCCCAUUCCAAUAUGACUACCAAGUUUCAUUUGAUUGGAGGUUCAAAAAAGAAAGAAAAAAAAAAAAGGAAUUUGUCAUUACUGGAUCCUAAUGUUACCUCAUAACAGAGUAGAGCCCAAAGCAACAAACGAGAUGAUCUCACUGAUCUCUCCACCUAUGGCCGCAGUUGGGGUUGCAGCAAACAAAGAAAAGGGUCAUGCCUUCCUCUCCUCUGGACGGGGCCUGCAUAUUAUCCACAAAAUGAACCACAAAAAUACAUAAUUAAGAGAACCAAUGUAAACUCGAGUAGUGACGCACUGUCAAUUAAUCAUGCAAAGGCAUCAAUUAAUGCCCCUUAUUUCACAGGUUGUUUGCAAUUACUAAGACAAAGGACAUGAUAGAAUGGUACUAAAGCAACAUCUAAAAAUAUUGGAGUAAGAAGAAAGCUGUAGGGUUACUGAACAUGGAAAAAAAAGACAAAUAAUGAAUAAUGAUAGGUAUAUUUAAAUGUUCAUUUACACGUGCUGUAUCAGCCGUAUCAUGAGCUAUAAACAUCUAGUUGUGUUUGGCGAGAUAAAAAAUUCGUGGCACAGGACAAUGAAUGAGCAUUUAGUUUCCCUAUUCCUGCUAGUGUUCAUUGCGUUAACACAGGAUCUCAAAUUCAGCCUGAUACUCCAUAAGCAAUUGAAAUAUGACAUAUUACAACCUGAUAAUUAUUGGCGCCACUGCACAACAUUGAUUAAAAGCAUAUAAUCAUUGUCGCUCGUAUUUAUUUUGGGACAUCGUGAGUAAUAUGGUUUAGCCAUUAGGAUUCUGCUAAUGCUAUUGAGUUAUUCUGCCAAGCCUGGCACUUUAUGUGAUGUAAAGCCUGUACGGCGCGCUACUAUUGAUUGACAUCACCAGAAUAAUAUAGACGAUUUUUGGUAAUUUAUCAUUUCAAACACAAACUAUAGCUAUAAGAAUGGCAGGCAAUAUUUGAAACUUGGAAUUAAGCUUCAUAUUCAGCUGUUAAGUACUCUAUCACCAUACUCACAAAAAAAAAAAAAAACAAACAAAAUAAAAAACCAAAUAGAAAUAAAACCAAAAUUAUGAUCUUGGAUAGAAGCACAAACAUUUUUUUUUUUUUUUAAUCUGCUUUCUUCAUAGUUGAUGGUAUUCUCAUAACGAAAUACAAAGUCUCUAAAAUGAAUCAUGAGGAAAAAUAAACUUGCAUUUUCAUUUCGGUUCAUAUGUUAUGCUUCUUCAAAUUGACAAAAAAAAUCACUAGGCAACAUCAAAUGUUGGAAGUGGCAACAGGGCUAACCUGGAAGAAUACAGCUUCAGGGUGACCGCAAGCAGCGCAUCGGACAGUUUUAGUUCGAGGAAGCGUUGGAUCUGAUGCCACAUCCUGCAAGAUCUGAGUGCGCUCACCAACAGAGUGGAGUACCUCGUUUCGAUAAACACAGUUGUUGUCAGAAACCUCCUGCACAGUUGAUGAAAAUGAAUAGGCCUCGUCAUUUGGAUGCGAUGAGCAACUCCGUGAAGUGAUGACAUAACAAGAUCGAGAAAACUAACACAAAUCCAGAUAAAAUAAAAGAUAAUUUUUCCUCUCUUUUUUUGAUGCAAUUGCUUCUAUAAUCUAUUAUUUCUACCUGAGCAGGCAAACAAACAUAACUACAACCAACGAAUAUCUUAGCUUGUUAACAAAAGGUUAAUGAUAACACAAGUUUGUUCCAAUUUCACAAGCAACAAUAUAUAUCUUACUCGGUGCUAAUUACAACUCACAAAAGAGAAUCUAGAAAACACUGGAGAAGAACACUCCAAAUCAUGAUUCCUUAGCUAUGAAUUAUGGUUUUUCUUCCCCCAAACCUUUUGCAAGCGAGGAAAUAUAUCAAAUUAUACAUAGCUAGAACACUCUUCAACACACACAAAAAACCCCUAAAAAUACUGCGGAUAAAAAGUAAAAAAACUUCCCUGGAUAUCCCCCACGCCACACAAUUUCAUCAACUCGAGCACACUCCACGAGAAAGAAGGAAAACCCUAGCAAUGCCGGGGAAGGAAACCCUAGAUCCCAAUCCAGGGCAAAAGAAGCGGAGAAAGGGUGCAAAGUUUUAGGGCGUAAACGAGACCUGGUGCUCGCAGUUGCGGCAUGCGAAGAGAAGGAUCUUGCGCUCCCUAUCCUCCUUGGGGUACAGUAUGUUGUUGCUGAAUAACAUAAGUAGAGGGGGAAUAAGAGAGGAGAGAAUAGUUAUUCCGAGAGGGAAUAAAAGGAAGAGGGGGUGUGUGUGAGAGCUUUUUUAUUUUGUAUUUUAUUUUUAUUUUUCUAAUGCACGAACCAUUCGCGGCAAAACUUCAUCGUACUCAUGGCUCCUGUUGCUGUUGUGGGCCUUCGUGCGCCUUUAUUUUUUUUUUAAAAAAAACAAAAACUUUGAUUUGAUUUUCAGUAGAAUAAUCGGAAUUGCACCGCCGUAGUUUUAUUUAUAUCUGGGGUGCGGGCCAGCGACGGUGGGACCUCGCGUGGGAGAGGACGGAGGAGAUCACGUGAUAGGCACGUGAAAAAAAAUAUGCAGGGUUGCAUGAUGCGGAGGCUUUCUUUUGUUUAAUUUUCUCCUAAUUUUCUUUUUUGGGAGUAAAAUUUAAUGGAUAGUCCACGAUUAUCGGACCUUUUUAACCUUUCAAUAGUUCAGAUUUUGAACUUGCUCAGUAUUUGUAAUUUCAUCCUUGAUAACUGAAAAAACAAAAAAAAUUGAAAAGACCUAAAUAAAUAAUAUGAUAGAAGCUAGUAUCGAAAUAAAAGUUAGCCACCCAUUUUGAUAUGCCAUAGUUUAGAAAAGGUUUGUGCAUUUUCACAAUAAAAAUCAUAAAAAUAAUAAAAGAAACCAAAAAAAUCAAAAUUUGAUUAACAUUCUUCAAAAGAAAAUGACUUUGCGCCAGGAAACCGAACACAAUCUUGUUUUUCAAACUUAGCUGGAACAGAAAUUCGGCUGUUCUGGCGUUGCGUUUAGUUUGAGAUGACAGGAAAAUGUACUACUAGCUAGAAACAAAGCUAUAAGAAACAAAAAUGUCCACGUAUUUUUUGCUAUUAUUAUAAAAGAAAACCUUAUCUCACGGCAAGUAGGCACCUCUCCCAAAAAUCUAAAUACCAGCAAUUUGUGCAAAUUCAUGGCUCCAGCGAAUCAGCAACUCAUUUAAGGAAAUUAACGAAAACAAACCAAGAGUCAAUUCUUCUGUUCUAUUGAGUACUAGAUGUUUAAAUUAGGGGUGAAAAGGUUCAGCACAUAAAUAACUUUUGAAGAAGAGAGAAUGUCUUGGUACCUAAAGUAACAAUACAAAUUUAAGCAGGCUACAACAUUUUACACCUAAAAAUAUGAGACAUCUUUCUACUUCCAAACAUAACAUCUGUAUUAUGUUAUGUACAAGAUCCAAGAGAACAUCACUUCCAAAAAGAGCUUCUACAUCAACAAACAACAUAGAGCGCCUCCUCUCAGCCAAAAGUGCUUCCUGUUUCAGCAUUCAAAAUUAGUAUGGCGAUUUAUUAUAAUGAAAACAAAAAAUUGAUCCAAACUUUCGAAUUAAAAAGUCACCACGCGAGGACGAGGACGAUGCACCUCUAUGUUGACCCCUGGCGCCCUUGUCAUGUGUAACGCUGGGAAUCUUGGAUAUGAUAAGAGAACUUUGCAAGCCCUCUAAUAGCUGCAGGAGUUAAAUCAAUCAAGAAAUGUAAGAAAAACACUUGGCAAGUGUAGACCGAUGAGAGAUUAGACAAAUCAAAGCACAGUUAGUGUCUGAUACUACAUUAAAAGAUCAUUAACAGGACACAGUUAGAAGGCAUGAUACCCGAUGAUACCUUCUAUAGGACUGCAACAACGUUCACAACAACAUUGGAACUAAACAAGAGGCGUAGCAAGGCUUACCCUUGAAGUUGGUUGAAUUCUGCGAUUUGAUCUCCGAGGUUGAAUUGCGUCAAGAUUUGUUCUUCCAAAAUUUUCAAAGGCCUUGUGUUCAUUUACAGUGGAUGUCUCCACAGCAGAAGUGAGCUUUCCGCCACCUCCAAUCUCAGGCUCAGAAGGGGUAGAUGGCUUCUUCUUUGAUGCUGGAUGACCCACUGAAGGCUCGACAUUAGAAUCAACUAGCGAACCAUCGGUUGUUUUAGCACUGUUGCGAGAAGAGCCAAGAUCCAGAGCACUCUUCUUUUCUAGAUUACUGCCUUGAUUGCUAAAAGAAGAACCGAAAGCACUAUCACCAACAUUUGAAGCAGACAUAGUCGUGACAGACAAAUUUUCCUUUUCGCCACUGAUUCUACCCUGACUGUUUUGGGACUUCACGGAUUUGACCACCCUUGGCUUGGGCUCACUAGAUCGCUUUCCUUUUGGGUCAACUUUUGAAGCACCCCAACCACGUGAUGUUUGUGGCAUCAGGUAUUUUGCAAAUUUGAUAGGAUUGUUCGCUUCGUCGGUCUUGUCGGCCUUAUCUGCAACAUAAUGUUUGCUUACUUCCAUAAAUUUCCUCUUCUUUCCCGGUCUAGGGACCCCAAAGACCACUCUCGAUCCUUCUUUCUGCAGGCCAGUCCUCUUCACUCCUAGUGCACCGGUACUGUCCUCCUUUCUUACAUUCUUUCCCAUGGUAAAAAUUCUAUCCUUUUCGGAUACAUUAAAGUGUCCAAACUCUUCUGGUUUCUUUGAAUUAUCAAGGUGACUCUCAGAUUCAAGCUGCCCUAGCCGCUGACGUUUCUCAUAUGGGGAAUCACCCUGAUUAAAUAAUAUUAGAAUUAACUAAAUGGGUCUGUCAAAAAUUCGCAUUGAAGCAAGCUCUACACCAGAAAAAGAUAUACAUAAAAUAUUCGAGAAUAAUAUGUAAGUAGAAUAAACCUCAUAGGGCUUGGUGUUUUUAUCUCUCACACGAGAUUGUUCUAUCCAGUGGCCAUCCUUCCAAACUAGGGAUGGACGAAGAUUCCAUGCUUUGACCACCAGUGAAUUGCCAGCUGAAUAACAGAUCCAAAGGCAAAGUAGUAAAUAAAUGACUAAACCUUCGUCAGUUAAUUUAUGGCAAACCACUUCCAUUGAAAAACAUCAGCAUAUUGAUCAGUUUAAUCUGUGACGACAAGUAACAGGAUUAUCUGGUUCUCCGGUUGUAACUUAUUUCUCAUACCAAAAGCUUCAGCUGCUUUUCUUGAUAAUUACAAGACAUAAAAUGCAUGAAUUAUCAAAAGAAAAAAAGUCUCUACAAGCCAGAACGGUAUAAUAUUUAAAAAUGAACACAAAAUACCGCUACAUCUUUUUGCUACUACAUCAAAUAGAAGCAGCAAAUUAUUAUAGAAAAUUAAAAGGACACAGCUUACAGUUCACUUCAUUUACCUGGAAAGUGAACAGUAAACUCUGUUUCAUCCGCUUGGCUCUUUUCAGUAAUAGUGCCUUCCCACCAACUGAGUAUCAUCAGCAACAUAAAUGAGGAGAGGAUAAGUUAUCCAAUUAUAAAGAUUAAUACAGAGAAGUGCAAGCCCACAUUAUGAGAACAAACUAAUGCAGCCAUUCAAAACUAUCUCUUUGUCAGUGUUGUAGAAUGAUCAUAGGAAAAAAGACAAAAUCAGAUGAAGGUAUCAAAAUGAUUAGAGAAAAAUAAUAAUAAUAAUAAUAAUAAUAAGCAAUUUUCUCCAUUUCUAUUUAGUGGGAAAGCUAGAAAGUAUUGCUGCUCAUUUUGGAGAAAGACCAAGAAACUUUUUGCCUCAUCUUCGCUCCUGGGAAAGCUAGAAAGUAUUGCUGCUCAUUUUGGAGAAAGACCAAGAAACUUUUUGCCUCAUCUUCGCUCCUCUCCUAAAAUUCCUUCGCUUUCCAACUUAUUUUUCCUGCCUCCAAGUCACCUCUAAUCAGACUAUCCAGCCCAAUCAAUUGAUAACAAAGACUCACGAGGAAUAGUGAGUUGACUUCAUAAACCAGAACUCUAAAUGGAACUGAUAUGGAAAGUUAAAUCAUGCUUAGCUAUAGGUCAUUUGAACAUCAGAUUUUGGUAUCAAACAAAUCUACAAGUUUAGAAAGUACUACACCUUUUAAAAGUUUUAGCUGCAUAAAUUGUUAUUUAUAACCACCUCAGAACAAUAUCAAAAAUUGCACUAAAACAUCUUACCCAUCUCUUAUCCAAGCAUCUACUCGAUCUCCGAUAGCCCAAGCAUAGUUUUCUAGCUCUCUGCGUCGCUUUCUGGUUCCUUCAAAUUUUGUAGUAGUCAUUGGAUGCGCAACACGUAUUCUUGGUGGCUUGUCACUGUCAUCCAUUAGUGGUAUCCACUCUUUAAGCUGACCGGACCCUACAAAACAACUCAGACGUUGAGUGUCUGAUGAAUCCCAUAUUAUUGCAAAAUGCAACACACACCGUCAGACCACUUGCAAUUGAUGGGGGGAAAAAAUCCAAUUGCCAAAAGUUCCAACAGGUGCAAAGGUUUUUGCAAGGGCCAAAUGAAAAAAAAAGACUAGUAGCCGCAAAUUAACAAGUAUUUACCAUCAUCAGGAAGACGAUCAUUAUAGCAGACGUAUGCUCUAUCAUCUUUAAUAUCAAGAACGCUCCCAGAACACCAAACUCCUCUAAGACCAUCAUCAUCAACCGCAACCUGACAUAUUUAGCACAAGGUAAGGCAAUAGCAACAGGUUCAAAAUCUUCAUUACAAGGAGUAAAUGUUGCCGUGAGAACUUUAUCUAAAGUUAGGCCACUCCAAAACCAGAUCUCCUUUGUUUUCCAAUAAACAGGUAAUAGGAAACACUACCAGAGUGAUUUCCACAAAAACAAACUGAAAUAGUAUAACAGAAAUAAAAUAACAACGAAUAGAACUUUUUAAGCUUCAAAUACAGGAACUCAACUAAACCUCACUUCUUACUAUGGUGGAAAGAAGACAGGUUUUAUUACAAGAUUAACUAACCUCAACAAGAGAUCCCUUUCGGAUGCUAUUUCCUUUAAGGCUUCCUAGCGAAGAAUCUUCUCCAGAUCUAUUGAGUGGAAUGUUGGCUAAUAUAUCUGCAAAUCAACUCUCAAAUUAAUAAAACAUAAAGCCAACCAGCAUGUUCAAGCGGUCGACAUUAGCACAUAAAAUAAAGCUGCAAUAUACCUGUUUGAUUUUCUUCCAACCGCAAGGACUCUUUGUUAGCAGAAAGUAACCCCUCACCAGCAAAUUUCUUUACCUCUUCCUGAUUUGAUGGUUGUUCAUUAGCUGGCUUGGCACCUGAUGUCUCCUGCAGCUGCAAGAUGUUUGAAGGUUUCUCGAUUACCGAAGGGUGAGCCUUCCAAUAAGCUUCAGGCCCAGAUUCAACCAACUCAGUUAUAGUUAGAGGUAAAGGAUCUCCCAUUGCAAUAAUUACUCCUGCUUGUGAAACAGCUUCAGCAGCAAGUUCUGCAGCUUUCAAUACGGCAUCCAAGUUCUCCAUCCGUUUUCUGGCAGCAGAGGCGGCUUCAACCCUUUUUCUAGCAACUUCUCGUGCUGCUGAAAUGAUCGAACAAGAGCCAGGGGCCGUGCUCUUCCCUUUCAAGAUUGAACCUGGAGUUACCAUUGCCAAAUUCUUACCCACAUCGAGUUGUCCAGUUUCCAAGAUUUGCGGAGUGACUGUUGUUAUAGCUUCAUCAGCCAUCAUCUUAGCCUGCAAAGCUGCUUCGGAUGCAACCUUAGCAGCUUCAGCUGCAGCCUUCGCAACAGAGGCUGCUGCUGCAGCUGCAACUGCAGCAGAAGCAAGUUUCUCUUCAGCUUCUGCAACUAAGCCCGAGUUCUUUUGUGUAGCCAAAUGACUCCAUAUGCCUUGGCUAUGCCUGACUGCUGCAGCAGCAUGUGCAGCAGCUUCUUGUGCUUGCUUUUUUGACUGCUCAAUUCUAUUGAAGAUCUCUUCAAAUAUAUGGGGCCUUUGCUCAGUACCCCCACCACCUAUUAUUGGAUAAUUAGAAGAAGUAAUCUGAGAGGUAGUAAGAACAAGGCCACCAGAGACAACCUUACUCGGAUGACUAGGAGACAAAAUAAGAGCUGGUGAAGAUGAAGACUGGUUACUAGCAAGAGCAGCAGAAGCAGGUCCUGUCCGAACUUGAGGGGCACCACUAGGAGACAAAAUAAGACCUGGUGAAGAUGAAGACUGGUUACUAGCAAGAGCAGCAGAAGCAGGUUCUGUUUGAACUUGACGGUCACCACUGAUCAGCUCCUGCUCCUCGGUAAUUACACCCUUUUUUCUCUUUCUUGGUUUCUGAGUACUAGCUGCACUCUUAGAAGAAGAAAUGGCUGCCUUCUUCGGUGUUUCAACCUGUACAACUGAGGCAGCAGAAACACUUGCGGAAACUGGGUUGGAUAGCAGAGUACUGGGUGAUACAAGUUGAACAGUAGGAGCAGGUGAAAUAGAUGAAUCCUUAGGAGGUGUUACUUUGGCUGUUUCAGCAGCAGGUACAGCCAGGGAGGCAGUUUCAAAUAUUGAGCUUUGCGAUGAAAGAACCCACGAAGUAGGGCGGGGGGUGUGAGAAAACCAAGGUCCAGCAUUGCCCGCAUACUGCCUCAUCUGUGAACUUGGAUAUGAAUGUAAUGGAGAUAAACCGAAAUCUAGAUGGGUGCCUCUUGGCACACUUGACUGUAAAUUAUCACGUAAAGGCAUAGCCCAUGAUGGUGAGGGCAAAGACACGGGGGGGAAUAAUAUAGGGGACGGCAUAGCUUUACUUACGCCUCGGCUAGAAGCUGACUUCAAGGAUUUGCUUUUACCAGCACCGUCCCUAGUUGAGGCUUGUUCAGCAAUCCGAGCACCUGCAGGUAAUUUACCAAUAAAACACUAUACAAUUCUGCGAAAAGAAUAUGAGAACUUCCAAAAUCAAAAAAUAUUUUAUUACCUUGCCGGGAGCCAAUAGGUGUUUCAGAAGUACUUAGAGGAGACUUCUGGUUCUGAUAUCUUUCAACAGCAGCAUGCCACAGUCCCUCCCACUUAGUCCUUCCACCACCUAUAUAUGCAUAGUACUAUAAUCUCUGCCUCUUUUAAUAGCAUUAUCUAUCAUACUUUUUACACUAUACCAAGAUAAAAUUAGCCAUUUACUAAACAAAAUGUACUAACCUGAUUCUCCAAAGGCCGAUAUCAUGCAAGCCUCAUCUGGGGGAACUCCUUGACUGCACCAUUUAAUUUAACAUGACUCAAUGAUGGAUCAAAGGGAAACAAUCUUUCAAUAAGAGGUUUAAAAAAAAAAAAACUCACAUAAGUGAUCCAUAAACAAAGAUUUGUGCACGCAGUUGCACUUGCUGUGAAUCAGUAAAGGGUUGAUGCGUCAAUGCUGCAGACGAAAUUGAAGUAUUCAAGUCUGGCAAACUAGAUGUCUCGCCAACUGGAGAAGAGGAGGCUUUGAUCCUACUGCUCUCAGUAGUUGGAUGUUGCUGCUUCUCCUUCGAAUGCUUGGUGUUGCCUGUGAAUUCAGCAAUAGGCAAAGCACUCAAUGGACUCUUAUUACUUUCUAUCAUCUGCUUUCGCUGCGAGGUCUCUUUAGCAGCAACUGUAGAGGAACUCAUCCUUUUGGAGGAACGACCUGAUGCCCGUUUACUCUUAUCUCCACCACUUUUCUCCGAAUUAUUUUUAGGAAGACUUCCAACUUCAGGAUGCAAAUGGUGUCCUUCAGAGUUCUUUUUUGAAACCUUAGCAGUUGAAAUUUGAGAACAUUGUGGUUAAUAAAAUUCUAGAGGCCUACAGAUAUACAAUCAAAUAACAAUUCGAAUAGAAAGUGAUUCCAAGCUACAUUAAGCGGGUGUGUGUGUGUGUGCGGGUGUGUGUGUGUGUGCAAGCGAGCGAGCGCACACGAGAGAGAGAGAGAGAAAGAGAGAUAGAGGGAGAGUUGUUGUACCACAGUAGUUUCACUGGAUUUGAUACUGGGAAAAGGUUUUAACUCAUUGCCGGUAUUAUUAUCUUUAGCAUCUGCAUCUGGUACCAAUCCAACCUCGAAGGAAAAGCUUUUAUCAUCUUUAGAUGUAGGACUUUCCGGUUUAGAUCUUUGACCAGUUUCAGAAAUUUGAACCGGAUUAUCUAAAGCAGGAUAUGUACACUGUGACAAUUCUUUGCUACCCUCCCCCCUUUCAUCUUGAGAAGGUUUACUGGAACUGAUAACUGUAGGCGAACCACAAAAAGGUUCUGCGGAACUUGGACUGUCCACUACAUCACCUGCACCAAAAUUAACCAGCAAAACUAAGUCAAAAUCUGCUCUUAUUGAUCUGCAACAACUGAAGAGAAAUAGCCUAUUCUGAAUAUCUUCUGUUCACAGGGAUAACCCAUGAUAGACUACAUGUAGCCUAUUAUGAAUAUCUUCUGUUCUCAUUGAAAGCCCACCAACACAACAAAUUCGCUCCUACCCACUAAAGUCAAUCCAAAUCACAACGUGACAUGGAAGAAAAAAAAAAAAUUUGAACAGCACACAGUCAAAACACCUAGUUCAUGUUUUCUCCAACAGUACAGUAUUUACAGGCUGAUUUGAUGCCGUUUCCCUACAGUUCAAAUCAUGAACUCAUUCCUGAUCGAUAUAUAUAGGAUAGCCUACAGAUGAUCUACAAACAAAACCUCAGGAGGAAAGAAGCAACAAUCACAGUCUAUCUUCUGCAUGAAAAGGAAAACAUAAUCCUGCCCGAUGUAAAAAGUUUUUUUUUUCCUACAAGAUAGUUUCCUCAAAAAAGGAAGCAUUAAUGACUGACCUGAUGGCUGGGUAUUCAACGAACUCUUUAAAUAAGUUGAAGUUACUGCAACUUCCGCAUUCUUAUCACACGAUUCAAUGCAACCGGAUACAGAUAAAGAUGACCGUUCCACUUCUUGCUCUACUACCACUGUCAUAGGAGUAUCAUCAGAAUAUGUCUGGGGAGGAGCAGUCAAGUUGUUAAGGGAGGGCCUACUAGAAUCGAGCUUGUCGCUCACAACUCCUGCUCAAAAGGAUACAUAUCAGAUAUCAUGACAAUACAUUUAACAUCAUUUUGAAAGAAUAUAUAUAUAUAUAUAUAUAUAUAUAUAUAUAUAUAUAUAUAUAUAUAUAGAGUAGGACUGCUGUGCUCUCUGUGCUCCUGAGCCGUUUUCGAUGAUGGAAUUUUCAAAUCGACGAUCGGCUCCGUUAAACUUGAUCUAGCGUAUUUGAAGUUUCUAGAAAAUAAUUUUUGCGAUUUUUCAAUAUCAUUUACCUAGCAAUCGAAAGGAUUCAAAAUCAAUAAUUUUUAACGGCUGAAAAUAAAAAUCCUAUAAAAAGUGGUGAUAUAGCACUAAAAUUUUCGAUCAGAAAUAUUGAUCUUGUUGUAGAUAGUAUAAAGAAUUUUGUAUUAAAAUUUCAUCUGAUUUGAAUACUUCUACACCAUUAAAUUUGAAAACGGCAGAUAUCAACCAUUAAAAAUUAUGGAUUUUGAAACCUUUCGAUCACUAGGUAAAUGAUAUCAAAAAAUCGCAAAAAUUAUUUUCUAGAAACUUCAAAUGCGCUAGAUCAAGUCUAACGGAGCCGAUCGUCGAUUCGAAAAUUCCAUCAUCGAAAAUGGCUCAGGAGCACGGACCUCCGUGCUCCUGAGAGCACAGCAGCCCUGCUCUAUAUAUAUAUAUAUAUAUAUAUAUUACAAAGACCAAGCAGAAGAAAGAACAUGCAUUUACCAGAAUUAUCCUGAAUCAAAUUACUUGGUGAUGAACUAUUCAUGACUGUUACAGUCUUUGUACUUUGAGCUUCAGAUAGGCACUUCAUUUCCUCCAUAACAGUGGAACUUUCACUUUGGGAUGUUCUGGGACCUAAACUAACGGGCAAUUCUGCAUCUUUUUCUCCUGUAGUAGAAAUAUGAGUGCUCAAGUGACCAUCCUUAGAUUCAGUCACCAAAUUAGAUAUGUCACUCGUCUCGACUGACUUCUUGUUGCUAGAAGAUAAAUCAUUCAAUUCCAAGUCAUCAGGUAAAGAAGGUGAAGUUUCCUUACGAAUAACAUUUUCUGAUGCAUCAAAUGUAAUUUCAGUUUUAUCAAUAGUUUCUUUCGCAUCUUCAUCUUCAGUACUCUUCAUCGAUACAGCUACUACAGCAUUCUGGCAAGUUAAAGUCAUUGGAUCAGCGGGGAAGUCGUUCACAUCCUCUCUUUCGGUCUCUGUUUCAUGUUUUCUUAAAUCUACCUCGAUUGGGCUUUGCACUGUAACACCUGGUUUUGAAAUAGCGUCCUCGCCCCCACUGGCAACCUGGCCCCUGGAGUCUUGCUUUUCUCCAGAAACCUCCCUAUUAGAAUUAAGCUCACUUUCUUCUCCAGUUUUGAUUACUCCAGCAUCUCUUGUUGAAAGAGGGUCCUCAGUAUGGGAAACAGGAUCCCUUGAAUGAUAGUUGGGUUGGUAAUGGCCAAUAUCUUCAUGUUGUUCACGUAUAUCAGAAUGCUUACUAAUAUUUGCACAGCCAUCCACAACUGAAUGCUUUGACAUAGUUACAUCUGCUUCCACAUCUAAAGAAGAUAUCUCCACAGCGUGCAGGCCAGUUUCUGUGUGAGUUACAUUAUCUUUGCUCAAAGUCUUUACUGGAUAAGCAAUAGAUUCCAAUAAUCCAUCAGAGCUCCCAGAUAAUAAGGAUUCAUUGGUUCCUUUCUGCAGCAAUUCAAUUGAUCCCAAAGAUUUCAUGUUGCAAAGAUCAGCUUCAACAGUGUGACUUUCAGAAUGCUGAUUACCUUCACCAUCAAAAGAGGCAACCUGACUUUUAGCUUCUUGCUUCCUGUUUGGAUGCAAAUUAUCUGCAAAAGUCCUAUGAAUCUCCUGGAGUUUCAUUACCUGCUCAGAAAAUAAUUGAUUAUCAACAGAUAGAGGAGAAGGGUCAGAAUUAUUUCCUUCAGUUUUGCCCUUUAAAGUAUCUUCCAAAGGAUUCUCAUCCUCAAACACCUCAAAAUACUCAUCAACAACUAAACAGCUUCUUGAUGUAUCAUUGGAAGAUGAAGCCAACUUGUCAUCUACGGUGCCUUUCUCGGCAAUGGAGUUCAUAUCUGAGUUUGACUUCUCGCGCAACAAACUUUCACCUAAUUCAUAUCCAGAUUUCUCGUCCAGAGGAGUUUGAGAAAUGUCUUUAACCUGAGGCUGACUUAAUGCUACAUCACGUCUGCAUGAGGGAUCCAUAUGGCAAUCUAUCCCAUUCAGUCGAUCAUGUGCAUCUCCAUCCUUAGUGCCAUCCUUAUUGUGUGCCAUAUCAUCAUCUCCAACUGACCUCAGUAGCAUUUCAACCGAUUCGGAGGAAGUAGCCUCAGACCAGACAUUAUUGGUCCUAGAUAGUGAACAAGAUUCAGCUGCACUUGGACUAAAUUCUAUUGCACUGCUUACAGGUGAGAAGUCUUCAAUCCAAUUGUUUCCUUGACCUUGUAUGCCAAACAAAACCUCUGUCUCAACUAGAUUGUCAAACCUAAGAUGAACCUGAAGUUGCUCGUCGAUAUCAAAUUUCGGUACAGCAAAUGGCCGUAAACUGGGCGGAGAUUUAUUGCUGUCCUCCCCAAUUAGCUGAAAGUUUUGGCUCUGAAAGUCAUUGUCAUCACAAUCCAUUGAUGUAUGCCUGCAACAUCAAAAAAAUAUAACAAUUAAAUAUAAAGAUAAUAAAUAGCUAUAAAUAUGCCUGCUAACCAUGUGCAUUGUGCACACAGUAAAACAGUAAGAAUCAAAAACAUAACCAGGAAAGUUGAGAAAGUUUCAUAAGAGUUAAUACGUCCAUACGAAAAGCAAUUUUUACCAAUCGAAAUAGUUUCAAGUAUCCAAGUAAGCAGAAUAAACAUAAAUGACAAUACGGAAUUAAAAAAAAGAAUUAAAAAUUCUAAUGUCAUACCUAAUAGAAUUUUUACUGUCACCCAGCCAAAUUCGGAUGAUCAUCCAGGUUAACACAAAGAACCAACGGUGACAAUGAUACUCAAAUAGCCUAAACUCAUUUGACUUAAUACCUCAAUCAACCCGUUAGGCACAAACAACUUUAGACCUUAACAGAAAACCACUUCAUACUGAUUUUAUACUUGUCUGCUGAAAAAGAACAACAUUCGAGGCUUCACUAUCCAAUGAAUAUGUCGAUUUUGGCAUGUAUUUCUUAGCAAAUCGCUGGCAUAGUGAUUUACAUUCAAGUGAGUUAAUAAAGAAUAUUUCCAACAAAAAACUACAAAACCACCAUUUGAAUUACGUGUAUUGCUUUUAGCGGACUAAUGAAAAUAUUUUUAAUUCACUUAUCAGUGAUGAGACAAAUCUAUGUAUCAUACCAAUUUAAUCUCUAUGUUAUGGCUACAUAAUGUUGAUCUGAAAGGUCUUAUAUAGAAGAGGAUCCACCAAAGCACACCUGCAACCACCCUAUUGAGCUAACCAUCCUGUUAACCCGGAUAGGUUGAAGACCAAGCAAGCUUGGACAGCUACCAAGAAAAACCCAAUUCAAGUCCUGCCGUUUGUUUAGUAUGAAAUAUCAAAUAAACAUUAAAACUUCUUGGAAAGAAACCCGCUUUCCCUAUUCCUUAUAACAUUUCCUCAUUAACACCAAUUAUCUCCUCAGACAUCUUUUUCCACUGUUGCAUAUGAGGAAAUCCUUGCCUUACUUUCACCUCCAUCAUAGCCCGAUUACUUGGCUCCAGCGGUGACAUCUUUCUCUGUUAAAUCCAACCCUCUCUCCCCCUCUCGCUGGACUACGGGGUAGUAAUCGACCCAAUGAUAGGCCAUGGCUCGAAACCGUCACUGUUAAAUCGCGCAACAUCUCUCUCAACAAAUAUGGAAAGAAAUGAAAAGGCAAAGUUUGAAUUUGGAGGAACCCUCACUGUUAGAUUGCUUCUUGGAGAGCAUCAGCGGUUUAUGAUAACAAAAGUUAAUCCCUAAAACUGCAUGCCUCAUAAAUAUCCGUUUAAACGUAAAUCGAGGAAAAAUACAAUUAAAGAACAAAAAAAAACUUCCUGGGUAUAUAUAUUUCUCCGAAACCCUAAUUCAAGAAAUAGAAAGAAAAGGUAUCGAUAAAGACCCCAACAAGCUACCAGACGGGGCGCACCGUCCAAAAGAGCACACCAAAAACCCUAAGUUUCUCCCUAAGCAGAACAAAGAAGCUAGGUACGUGGCGGAAGCAGCAAGUGUAGAGUGGAGUGUGGAGAGAGAAAGAAGCGCGUACCGGGGAGAAAUCGCCUAGGCUUCUACGACCCUCCAUCCGUGGACGAAAUCUUGUCCUUUGAAGCUCCGGACCCCAAAUCCCACGGCGAUCCGAGGGCUCAUAUCCCGCGGGCCAUGAGCGGCGUCGAAAGGAGCCCCUCCGCGCCCGAAACCCUAGCUUCUUGGGCCCCCGCCAUUAGGGCUUCUCCGAGAAGCGGCUUCUUGAGGGGGAAAUUAGGAUUAGGGGAGCGAGAUCGAAAGGGGAGGGUUGGGGUGGAGAUGGAGAGUGGGGAAGGAGGAGACGAAAAGCCCUUUUCUUUCUCGCACUCCUCUCUCUUUCUUUUUUACACGCUCUUUUUCCCUCUUUGCUCGCCUCGCCUCGCCUCGCCUCGCCUCGCACGCGUUAGUGCUCGGAGCCGACGAAUUAGGAUCGAAACUUGAGGAUUUGAACGGGGGCGGCGGUUCGAAAGGGGGCAUGGGUUUGUCCGAAUAUUACGCUUUUACACACCCCCAAUGUCUUAUCCGCACGUGCCGGGGAAUGACGUCAUCCUUCUUUAUUCGGGCUCCAAGGAAGUUUUGUAUGGACCGUUUGGAUGCGGCCCAUUUGUACCAGUCCUUGGAAUCCAACUACUCAAAAAUAAUAAUAAUAAUAAAUAAAUAAAUAAAUAAAUAAAGACAAAAAAAUAUGUAAAGAGACACCUCAACUAUGGGCCAAUUCUAAAAUUGCAACUCUUUACGCCGCUGUAUUUGGUUCGAAUAUAAAUCGAAACUAUUUAUUUUGAAAAUAGAUAUAAAUUUAUAUAUAAAUAAGAACUAAUUAAUUUUAUGUUUGGAAGGAAAUUAAUUUAUUUCUGAAAAUAAGAUAAAUAGUAUUUGAAUAGUAAGACUGGAAUAAGAGAGAGAAGAAUUAUAAUUUUAAAUUAAAAUUAUUUUAUAAAAUUAAUUAACAUCAAAAUAUUAAUUAAAAAUAAUUUAAUAAAAAUAAAUUUACUAGCUAUGAAUAUUAUAUAAGAUAAUAAAAGUAAAAAAAAAUUAAUUAGAGUAAUACAAAUAUUAAUGGUUGAUAAAUAUAAAUAUUAAUUUAUGGAUAAACAUAUUAAAUUAUUAAUAAUUAAUUAGCUAAUUAAUUUUUUUCAUUAUUUAAGCAAUAGAUAAUAAUUUAAAUUUAUUAAUUAGAUUAAUUAAUAAUAUAAUAUCAUAAUUAAAAUUAAAUUUGGACUUUAAUUAAUCUUAUUCUCAUUUGGGAACAAGCUUGUUUCAGAAAAAAGAUAAAAAUAGCAGUUUCAGGCUUACACCGAGUUAUACCAGUUUAUUCCAUGAACCAGAAAACUACAAUUUUCUUUUUAGAUAUGAAAAUUUAUGUUUGAAAAUAAAAGGGUGGACAAGAGCUUAUUUUUCCUUGUUCCUGAACCAAACAUUGCCUUAAUUAACUUUGUUUUUUCAUCUUAAUUGACACUCCUUAAAAUUCUAUUUUUAAAAAUUUAAGAUUUAUAGAUAAUUACAAUAAAAACAUUUUAUUAAACUUUCUUGCUCAGUUAGCUAUUAUUGGUUAAUUAAUUUAUCUGGUCAGGCACACAUUUGUAUAUCUAAAUGAUCUAAAAUUGUGUCCCAACCAGGACUUUCACGGAGGCCUCGUUUGGUUCGAAUAUAAGCAAGAACUAACUAUUACAGAGAUAUGUACAAGUAUGGGAAUAAGAAAAAUAACGUAUGGAUGAAAAUUGGAUUGUUCUCGGAAAUAAGAAAAAUAGUUGAUAGUUUUAUAGAGAAAAUAAAGAUGUUGGUAGGGAUAGUUAUACCAGCUUAUUUCAGGUAUCCAAAAACUAUUAUUCUUGGAUAAAAAAUUUACGUUUCGGUCCCUUUAUCCCUAAUUCAAACAGUGCCAGAGAGAUUUGGAAUAUGAUGAUGCUUCUGGAUUUUAUCAACAGGAAAGUUAAUUAAUUAAAUUGUAUUUAUUAUAAAGUUUUAAAUUAUUAAAUGUGAUAGAUUUAUCUAUCAAUUUCAUAAAAUUUUUAAUUUAAUUGGCUGAAAUCACAUAAUUUUCAACAAAAUAAAAUAAAAUUUGAGAAAGUCUUUGAGAUCACUAUUUCAAAAAAACAAAAUGUUAUAUAAAUAGAGAGUACAUCGUAUACGUCGUUCAUUCGAACACGGCUAGUAAAAGAUCUUAUCCGUCGAAUUGAUGGAGAUUAAUGAUGUGCGCUCCGGAUUGUACCGUUUCUUGGUUUGGAAUUGCUGGUAGUUGAGGGGUUUCCAUACAUUUCUACCAAAAUGAAAAAUUUGAAAAAGAAAAAUAAAAAAGGUACAGUAAUGUGAUGUGUCUGUCACUGUCGAUUGUACAUUUGUACAGUACAGUCACUUUGAGCCAAACGGAUAUUAAAACUGGGUACGAUCUUGGAUGGCCAGAUGAAAAAGAUCGGUUCAGAUGGACGGCAUCCGAUCCUUCUAGCUUUAUAUGAAAGAUCUGUUACAAGGCUUCAUUUUAAUUGGAUAUAAGUUUUAAGUUAAUCCUAUUCGGAUAUAAAACUUUGAGGUACAAAGCUGGGCACACAUUAAAAGAAGAAAAAAAAAAAGUGAAACAUGUUCUAAAUUCUAAUUGAACAGGACCACAUAGUAUAUAUAUUCUUUUUGUUUUAUAGAAAUACGUAGCAUGUUCCCUACUUCUUUUAUUUCAUUUAGAAAUGAGCUUAAAUAGAAAUGUGAAUCAAGUCGGAUUGGAACUUGAGACUUCGGGUAUCAAGUACUAAAUUCUUUGCCACUUGCGCUAGGGACAGUCGGUCAGUAUAUAUAUUCAUUAAUAGUGGUUUUAUAUAUAAUUUUCUCUGCUCCGAAAUUAAAGUACUUUUGAUGUGAGUUCGCGAGCUAACGUAUUGUCCCACAAUUGAUCUUUUAUUUUAACUUAUUGCAUCAAUUAUUACUAUGUGAAAAAAACUUAGCUGAGUCAAAUUCAGUUUUCUUAAUUAUUACUAUGUGAAAAAAACUUUUAGCUGAGUCAAAUUCAGUUUUCUUCAAUUAAGAAGCUUUUUUGAGAGAGAUAGGUAGCACGCUACCCGUUUCGUUUAUUUUAUUUAGAAAUAAAUUUAGUUGAAAAUGUGAAUCAACUAGGAUUCGAAUUUGGAACCUCGGAUAUCAACCACCAAACCCUUUGUCACUUGCUUUAGAGAUAGUUUAGAUUUGAUUUAAUUUGAUUAAAUAGUAUCUUGGAUCAGUGAAUGAGGUUUGUUGUUGUGAUUGAACUUGAGCUCCGAUAAUUCAAAUGGAGUUGCAACUCCAAAUAUCAUUUUGGCCAAGAACAUGCAAAGACCAGUAAGUGCUUCAUGGCUUCUACAAUCAUCUCUUCGGAGCGUUUGGUAAACAGAAAUCUUUUAGAGUUUACGAUAUGAUGAGGUUAGAAUGAACUAAGACCUGAAUAAACCAGUAUCCGAAGCUUCUUCUGUUGAUUUUGAACUAACUAAAAGCCAGACCUGUGGAUGAAUAGGAAAUCAGUUUUGGCUUAGACACCUCAACUCGGAGCGGAACUCAGGACUUCGUGCCGAUUCAAGUCCUGCCUCUGAGCCCGCAAAGUCGGAGCUCCAACUCCAGUGCAGCUCGCUAGUGCAAUAUCAGAUGGCGGGGUGCAAAGUUGGACUUCAGGCAAUUGCAAUUGUGCAGUACUUGCAGACCAAAAUUACUUCAGCAUAUGGACUCUAAAGAUAGAUACUAAAGUUUUGAAGCAUAAAAUGCAUGUGUAGUUCGUGAACGCUUGAUUUGGCGGAGAGAAAAAAGAAAUUCACUUGGCACUAAGGAAUCGCGAUUUACUUUACAACGACAGCAUUUGUUCUGUGGGUCAGUUACAAAACUUUUGCAAAUUUCAGGACCGUCAGCGGAAAAAAAACAAAAACUCAUACCCACCAUGUCUUCUCCGUCAAGUUCUUUGCGAAGACAUAUCGAAACCUUGUAUUAUAAGGCAACCAUUCAAUGAUCUGCGAGGCCUUUUUUUUGUUCUGUGAAUCUAAGCACUUCUGGAUCGCAUCGUGCAGCUUAUCGUCGACGUUCUCUGAUAUCCAUGUAAGAAGUUGAUCGCAGCUAAGAGAAGCCCCUUUUGCGUACCUAUCAACAAUCUUGGGUAGAUAAACUCUCUUCGAUUUCUUGACGACCACGUUAGCUUGAAGGAAAUCCUUUGUGGCCUUGUCUAACUCAUCUAUCACAUUCUUUUCAGUAUAUAACCUCAGCUGCAUCACAAGGAAGUCGCUGAGAAUUUGGAAUUAGCUUAAAUGCUGUAGUGUUUCUGAAAGAGGUUAAUCAUUUACCAUUGGAUCAGAAGAAGCUCCAGUAGACAAUGCAAAGAAAACAAGAGGUUCGCAAUCAAAGAGACCACACUUUGAUUCGAGAAGCUGCUUUUCCUCGCUACUGCUCUUCCUCAUCGUAGUUGAAAGAAUGCUUUCGAACCACUGCAGAAAUAGUGCUUAAGUUACACAUUAGAGGUUGAGAAACUUAGUUAACUCUUUACAGUAAGAGUUAAAAUGGCGUUAGAUGAGCAAAAUAGCAUCAUUUUUUUUGUCCAAUCUUAGCUUCUGCUUCUCGAGUAGAGAAAAAUUUUAAGAAGCCCAACUAAAUGGACACUAAGAAGAGUCAAAGCCAGAUUCAAACUGAAAUUAGAUGCAAAAUUAACUCGAUUUGUCAGCCUCAAACACAAGCUUGAAUAGUCCUGUGCCAAACAGAAGCCUAAAGUUGCCAAAGUAAGCCUCUUGCUGAAAGGCUCAAAGCCAAGAUUGAGAAUAAAAUUUGUCCCGAGAGUUGGAGAAAUCAAUAUGAAAUCUGCUGUAAGAAGUAGGUUUGAUGGAAAUGAGUUUAGAUCAUACUCGACCAAUUCGCGGAGUGCGGCAGCAUAACAAGGAAUGCUCUAUAGAAUUGACGGUCACGAUGUGCCCUCCAACGUUGUACGCAGCCUGUAGUAUAUAUAAACUUGUUUUCAGAUUCAGCUCUACAAUUAAAGCACAAUCCUGGUAUGUCUAACGCAAGGUUCAGACCUAAUCCCUUUCCUUUUUAUACGCACAAGCAGCAUAUUUCGUCAAUUUAGGAACAUUAUUUAGAUGUAAUUAAAGACGAAGGUUUUCACUACCUUAUGAAACAGCGCCAUCCUUCUCAGAGCACUAUGGGGAAUACCGUACGCUAAAUAUGACUGCAGAUCAAAUAGCAGAUACAAUUACAUAACACAUAAAACAGAUGUAAGCUAAAGGAAUCACUUGAAAAUAUUCGACAAUUACAUGCAUGAUGAGAGCAUUGUAGAUAUUGAUCCAAAAUGCCAAUUUAGCUUCGGUCUCCAACACACUGAGAUCAACUCUCUCAAGCUGCUCGACUAGCAACCUAAAUACAAAAUGGGAGAAAAUAUUAGUCAUUCAUCGUAAAUUCUAACAGUACGUAUUUACUGCAAAAAUAUUAUUAAACCUACCUGUAGCUGCUUAUGGCCUGAGAUGCAUUCGACAAGUGAUUUUUGUCAGCUGAUAUCGAAGAGAUCUCCACCGUACAUUUGUUAGACCAGACAUGUUCGUCGCCGUUGCCUCUUCGAGAGUUCACUACACUGGUAGAUGAUCUAGACAAGAAUGGGGAUCGGGCUUUUUCGGUCUUCUCUGAUGAGUCGCUGCGCAUCCAACAAUAUAUGGAAGCCAUGCAUUGGACCAUCUCUUCUGAUAUUUUGUUCGGGCAUUGGUGGAGAUGAUCUUUUAGAGUACGGGCCAAACAACUUCUUCCAGCAUUAGGCAACUUCUCAUACAAAAGAAAAAGAAACAACACUACCAAAUUUCGUCAAAUUUGCUAUUGUUCGACUAGAAUAUUUAAAACAUUCAUAGGAACUACAAAAAAGAAACAGCAAGUUAUAGAGUCGACCGCUCAUUUUCAAUAUAAAGCACAAUGAUGAGAGUAAAACAAAAUUUAGCUCAAUGGCUUUGUUGACAAACUAAGAUACAUGCACUUCUCAAUUUGUAGUGAAGUAAUAAAAUUACUCUAUUCUUUUCUCAGCAGUGAUAAAGCAAAUGUUGGUUGAUAUGCAAAAAGAAGAUGACAGAAAAAGGUGCUAUUUCAACGUCGAAUUCGCUUCAAGGAUGCCAUUCCUAUAUCAUUUAGGAAAACAAGGAUGUCAAAUGAUCAGAAAAGAAAAUAAAAUUUAAGAAAAAGCCAAGUAGAAAUCUUCGAGAUAUCGUAAAUACAUCAUAAUGUGCAUUCAUGUACCUUCCUUGCAUCUGCAGAAAUGGUUCCAGCACGUAUACUCAAGUUUUCACCGGAUAAAGAUUCAUGCCGUGUCUUGGGCUUAGGCAACACCCUGCACUUUUCGGACUCCUUUUUGGAAGGAAGAAUGUUGAAAGAUUGCAGGGGAAACUUCUUUGACGAGCAAAACGCACUCGAUAUUAUGCUCGGGUGCUUCCUCGAUUUGUUGCUAGUGUGUGCAGGAGAAGCCAUGCCUGAACUCUGCGCUGACGAAGGCCCACUAACACAUUGCUCGAAAAUGCUUCUGUACAGAGAAAGAACGUGUUGCUCGCGAUGUGCUAUCUCUUCUUCAAGUAGCUCGAUCUCCGCUAUGAGUUCCCUUGUCUAACGAAACAAUGAGCAAGAGAGUGGUUAAUCCGCAUAGCUUUUUCAAACUUUUCCUGAACCAGUUUAGUUUCUUGAGUGUAAAUUAUGAUCUACUUAAUGAUGCAUGCAAAAGAAUAUAUACCUGAGCAGAGAAAUGCCUAUGUCCUGGAGAUAAUGUACUAGAAGCUCGGCCGAUCGCCCUCUCAAGCAUGGUACGGAUGGAUCUCUCCUGAUGCAAGUUCACUUGAAGUUGCUUGAUCUAUUAAAAUACGGAGAAUAGUUUUAGAAAAUUCUCGCGCAACUUGAAUGUUGUACAACUAAUUCACAACUACGAAGAACAUUGAUUUCUAGGAAGUUGUAUACGGAAAAGUCUCUUUUCCGUUGUGAUGCUUCCGCUCUAUAGAAAUUUGUGUUCAGAAGCAACCAGAGAAAGUGCUUCAGAAUUUUCACAAUUUAUACGAGAAGAUAUUGCAUCAGUAAUAAGGCAACAACGAAAAGCCUAAAAUUGAAUAGAAGUUUUGAGCCUUACAUCGUUCUCCAAGGAAUUGCGGUGCUUAGGUGAAGCCUUUAUCAAAGCAUCGCUUGAGUCGUGAUAAACAGAACCGUGAGUUCCGCGAGAUUUCUCAACAUUCAUGAAAUCCUGGAAUUAGAAAAAGAUUUUUUUUUUUAAAAAAAAAAAGAAGUUGUGUAAGCUUUUUGAUAGGAUAUUAAUUGAAGAAACUUGUUGAAUGCGCAGUUGAUCAAUUGUCUCACCUGAGAUUGAUUGCAUUCUUUACCUCUGCAGUGCGAAACUCCAUGUUUCAACAGAUCCAAGUUCCUAUCAGAAGCACUGAAAGAGAACAACUGUGAAAUCCACUGUAAUAGACAAGCAGUACAGCAGGGAAAAGAUGCAAUUAUUCGGCUUGAGGAAAUUAAACUAUCUUGCACAUCAUUUUUCAAUGUCAUUUUCUAAUACUGCACUUUAUUGCAAACCAUAGUAAUGUCUAACCUUGCUAAUGCAGUUGAUUCGGCAUGAUUUAAACCUCUAAAAUAGUAGGGAAAAGCGUAACAUCAAAAACCCAAAGAAGCAAAGAAACUAGUGUACAGAAGCUCACCUUUGCGAGCGCCGGUGAUGCGAAGAACAACCAGAUAACAUGUUUACAUCCUUAGAAGCUUCUUCUUCUCUUCCUUUUCCAUCCAUUCCUUCUCCUUACAUAAUUUCCCUUCCUCUUCUCUUUUCCUACCCUCGGAUCUCACCAACUCUCAUCAAAAUCCAUGUACUUAUUCUGCACCAUAAAAAAAAAACAAAAUAUAUAUCGAGAGCAAAGGUAGGCAAAUCGGUAUCCGAUGCUUACCUAUUUCUGUUAGUAUUAACUGGGAGAGUCAGUGUUGCAGGCAAAGAUUCUUGGGCAGCAAACAAUGUUGAGGUUAGACAUUAAAUGAGGAGCUCUUAAAUUAGUUGUUGAGUAAUUAGUUUCCAUAGAAGGCGAGAAUAAAGAAAUAGUAGAUAAUAGCUAAGUUGGUUAGAGCGAAAAGGAGGUAUUGUAGAGAUGCUAGAGGGGCCAGUGGUUGUUGGGAUUUGAAUGAAGGGAGUUAAUGAGAGGGAGGAAGGGCCACAGGAGUGGGGAAUUUGAAUGCAUUGUCCCCGCGAAUGGUCAGGGAUUCUUUACUGCAGAUAUAAUUAAUGACAGAUAAUAAUAAAAAAAUUGAUAGUUGGCACUUGGCAUUCGUUUUUUUUUUCAUUUUUUAAAAUUUUUAUUAAGGUAAAUAUUGAAAAUUAUCUUCCAACCAUAGAAAGAAAAAUGUAAAAAAGAAAUUGCCGUGUCGGUGGAAAUUUAUAGUUGGUUUUGGUGGGGAAAAAAAAAAAAAAAUUUUGAAAUCUGCUUUACGCUUCAAUUUAAACUUUUAAGAGUAUAAGUUUCAUAUUAGUAAGUAAGAGAUCGUGAGUUUGAGUCACGUUAGGCUCCUAAAUUUUUUUUAACUUAAAUCCAUGUUAUGAGUCUUGCAAAAAAUUUUAAGCCCAACUGUGAAAGAAAGUUUUAAAUAUAAAAAUAUAUAAAUAUCGUUCUCUACUAGUUUAAGUUUUUAGAGUAUAAUAAUUAUUUGCAUUUAAGGCAAAAUAACUUGGGAAUUAAUGCUACGUUCUUAUUAUUUUGUAAAUUUGUGAAUUUAAUUCCGAGCAUACUAUUUAUUAAGUUAAAUUCCUCCAUGUUCUAUUCCUCUCAGAAGAACUGUUUAUGGGUGUCGUUUAACUACGUACUAAAGGAUUAACGUGGAGAAAAAUAAUUUUUUUUUUUUUUUUGAGAAAUAGGUGGCGAGCUACAUGCUUUAUUCAUUAAGUAAAAUAAACUGAGCGUAUAGAAAUGAAAGCAACUUGGGCCUCCGAAAAGAGCAAAAAAUAACUGGCAAAGAACUUGGUGGUUGAUAUCCGAGAUCCAAAUUCGAAUCCUAGUUGAUUCACAUUUCUAGCUAAGUUUAUUUCUAAAUAAAAUAAACAAAACGGAUAGUGUGCUAUCUAUUUCUAAAAAAAAAAAAAAAAUCAAAAGGCAAUUAUUAUUAUCUU